rnacentral:rRNA from 1 species
UGGGGAAUAUUGCACAAUGGGCGCAAGCCUGAUGCAGCCAUGCCGCGUGUGUGAAGAAGGCCUUCGGGUUGUAAAGCACUUUCAGCGAGGAGGAAGGUGGUGAACUUAAUACGUUCAUCAAUUGACGUUACUCGCAGAAGAAGCACCGGCUAACUCCGUGCCAGCAGCCGCGGUAAUACGGAGGGUGCAAGCGUUAAUCGGAAUUACUGGGCGUAAAGCGCACGCAGGCGGUUUGUUAAGUCAGAUGUGAAAUCCCCGGGGCUCAACCUGGGAACUGCAUUUGAAACUGGCAAGCUAGAGUCUCGUAGAGGGGGGUAGAAUUCCAGGUGUAGCGGUGAAAUGCGUAGAGAUCUGGAGGAAUACCGGUGGCGAAGGCGGCCCCCCUGGANGAAGACUGACGCUCAGGUGCGAAAGCGUGGGGAGCAAACAGAUUAGNUACCCUGGUAGUCCACGCUGUAAACGAUGUCGAUUUUGGAGGUUGUGCCCCUGAGGCGUGGNUUCCGGAGCUAACGNGUUAAAUCGACCGCCGGGG